AGAGAGGGUGGAAUCUUUCUCAAUAUUUUCUGUUUGAUUACUUUUUUUUAUGAUGAAACAUUUUUUGAUAAAAUAAAGGAGAAAUUCAUGGGUACAAUUGUGUAAUUGUUCAUUUGAAAUGAAAUGUCUGUGGAUAAAAGUUUUAAUGUAUGCAAUAUCAUAAAGCUUACUCAUCAUAUGAAUUGAAUAUAUUUGUAAUAAAAAAAAUUCUAUCAAAAGU
rnacentral:misc_RNA from 1 species